rnacentral:rRNA from 1 species
UACGUAGGGUGCAAGCGUUGUCCGGAAUUAUUGGGCGUAAAGAGCUCGUAGGCGGCUUGUCGCGUCGACUGUGAAAUCCCGCGGCUCAACUGCGGGUCUGCAGUCGAUACGGGCAGGCUAGAGUUCGGUAGGGGAGAACGGAAUUCCUGGUGUAGCGGUGAAAUGCGCAGAUAUCAGGAGGAACACCGGUGGCGAAGGCGGUUCUCUGGGCCUUACCUGACGCUGAGGAGCGAAAGCGUGGGGAGCGAACAGG